AGGAGAGUUUGAUCCUGGCUCAGGAUGAACGCUGGCGGCGUGCUUAACACAUGCAAGUCGAACGAAGCACUUACGAUUGACUGGAGAGCUUGCUCAAAGGGAUUUUGUUUGUGACUUAGUGGCGGACGGGUGAGUAACGCGUGGGUAACCUGCCUCAUACAGGGGGAUAACAGUUGGAAACGACUGUUAAUACCGCAUAAGCGCACAGUAUCGCAUGAUACAGUGUGAAAAACUCCGGUGGUAUGAGAUGGACCCGCGUCUGAUUAGCUAGUUGGAGGGGUAACGGCCCACCAAGGCAACGAUCAGUAGCCGACUUGAGAGAGUGAUCGGCCACAUUGGGACUGAGACACGGCCCAAACUCCUACGGGAGGCAGCAGUGGGGAAUAUUGCACAAUGGAGGAAACUCUGAUGCAGCGACGCCGCGUGAGUGAAGAAGUAUUUCGGUAUGUAAAGCUCUAUCAGCAGGGAAGAUAAUGACGGUACCUGACUAAGAAGCCCCGGCUAACUACGUGCCAGCAGCCGCGGUAAUACGUAGGGGGCAAGCGUUAUCCGGAUUUACUGGGUGUAAAGGGAGCGUAGGUGGCAUGGCAAGUCAGAAGUGAAAUGCGGGGGCUCAACCCCUGAACUGCUUUUGAAACUGUCAGGCUAGAGUGCUGGAGAGGUAAGUGGAAUUCCUAGUGUAGCGGUGAAAUGCGUAGAUAUUAGGAGGAACACCAGUGGCGAAGGCGGCUUACUGGACAGCAACUGACACUGAGGCUCGAAAGCGUGGGGAGCAAACAGGAUUAGAUACCCUGGUAGUCCCCU
rnacentral:rRNA from 1 species